CCAGACUCCUACGGGAGGCAGCAGUGGGGAAUAUUGGACAAUGGGGGGAACCCUGAUCCAGCGACGCCGCGUGAGUGAAGAAGUAUUUCGGUGCGUAAAGCUCUAUCAGCAGGGAAGAAAGAAAUGACGGUACCUGACUAAGAAGCCCCGGCUAACUACGUGCCAGCAGCCGCGGUAAUACGUAGGGGGCAAGCGUUAUCCGGAUUUACUGGGUGUAAAGGGAGCGCAGACGGCAGUGCAAGUCUGGAGUGAAAGCCCGGGGCCCAACCCCGGAACUGCUCUGGAAACUGUGCGGCUAGAGUACUGGAGGGGCAGGCGGAAUUCCUAGUGUAGCGGUGAAAUGCGUAGAUAUUAGGAGGAACACCAGUGGCGAAGGCGGCCUGCUGGACAGUAACUGACGUUGAGGCUCGAAAGCGUGGGGAGCAAACAGGAUUAGAUACCCCAGUA
rnacentral:rRNA from 1 species